rnacentral:rRNA from 1 species
UAACGCGUGGGAAUCUGCCCUCAGGUUCGGAAUAACAGUUAGAAAUGACUGCUAAUACCGGAUGAACACUUCGGUCCAAAGAUUUAUCGGCAAGGGAUGAGCCCGCGUAGGAUUAGGUAGUUGGUGGGGUAAAGGCCUACCAAGCCGACGAUCCUUAGCUGGUCUGAGAGGAUGAUCAGCCACACUGGGACUGAGACACGGCCCAGACUCCUACGGGAGGCAGCAGUGGGGAAUAUUGGACAAUGGGCGAAAGCCUGAUCCAGCAAUGCCGCGUGAGUGAUGAAGGCCUUAGGGUUGU